GAAGCGACCUGGAAAGGUCCGUCGUAGAGGGUAACAACCCCGUAGUCGAAACUUCGUUCUCUCUUGAAUGUAUCCUGAGUACGGCGGAACACGUGAAAUUCCGUCGGAAUCUGGGAGGACCAUCUCCCAAGGCUAAAUACUCCCUAGUGAUCGAUAGUGAACCAGUACCGUGAGGGAAAGGUGAAAAGCACCCCGGAAGGGGAGUGAAAGAGAUCCUGAAACCGUGUGCCUACAAAUAGUCAGAGCCCGUUAACGGGUGAUGGCGUGCCUUUUGUAGAAUGAACCGGCGAGUUACGAUCCCGUGCGAGGUUAAGCUGAAGAGGCGGAGCCGCAGCGAAAGCGAGUCUGAAUAGGGCGUUUAGUACGUGGUCGUAGACCCGAAACCAGGUGAUCUACCCAUGUCCAGGGUGAAGUUCAGGUAACACUGAAUGGAGGCCCGAACCCACGCACGUUGAAAAGUGCGGGGAUGAGGUGUGGGUAGCGGAGAAAUUCCAAUCGAACCUGGAGAUAGCUGGUUCUCCCCGAAAUAGCUUUAGGGCUAGCCUUAAGUGUAAGAGUCUUGGAGGUAGAGCACUGAUUGGACUAGGGGUCCUCAUCGGAUUACCGAAUUCAGUCAAACUCCGAAUGCCAAUGACUUAUCCUUAGGAGUCAGACUGCGAGUGAUAAGAUCCGUAGUCAAAAGGGAAACAGCCCAGACCGCCAGCUAAGGUCCCAAAGUGUGUAUUAAGUGGAAAAGGAUGUGGAGUUGCUUAGACAACUAGGAUGUUGGCUUAGAAGCAGCCACCAUUUAAAGAGUGCGUAAUAGCUCACUAGUCGAGUGACUCUGCGCCGAAAAUGUACCGGGGCUAAAUACACCACCGAAGCUGCGGAUUGAUACCAAUGGUAUCAGUGGUAGGGGAGCGUUCUAAGGACAGUGAAGUCAGACCGGAAGGACUGGUGGAGUGCUUAGAAGUGAGAAUGCCGGUAUGAGUAGCGAAAGACGGGUGAGAAUCCCGUCCACCGAAUGCCUAAGGUUUCCUGAGGAAGGCUCGUCCGCUCAGGGUUAGUCAGGACCUAAGCCGAGGCCGACAGGCGUAGGCGAUGGACAACAGGUUGAUAUUCCUGUACCACCUCUUUAUCGUUUGAGCAAUGGAGGGACGCAGAAGGAUAGAAGAAGCGUGCGAUUGGUUGUGCACGUCCAAGCAGUUAGGCUGAUAAGUAGGCAAAUCCGCUUAUCG
rnacentral:rRNA from 1 species